rnacentral:lncRNA from 10 species
AACUACAGACGCGAAGCUCAGCCUCUCGGUUUGGGAAUUUUCUUGGAGGCCGAGGCCCUGCGCCUCUGUCUGCACCCAAGGCGACCGCCCAGCUUACCCCCGGCUCUUCUGAGCACAGGGAGGCCUCCCAGCAAAGCCUGAACCCUCUAAGUUUAGCUGCAGGCUUCGAACCCCGACCGUCCCCGCCGAGCCUUGGGCUGCUGAGGUGGGGAUGAACUGGGCGAAAGACACUUGGGAGUUAGGAAGAAACAAACAAGCAGGGAAGUGACCAGGAGACAAGGAGACAGCCCUGCUGCAAGCGGCCAGUGGGAAUCCUUGGCCUUUGGGGGUAUGAUCCAAGAAUGUAAACGCUAGCUUUUCAGUGUUUUCGAUUUCGUGAUAUUCAAUGCAUACAAUACAAUGUGACUCUUGAAGCUUAAUAAUAAAAUUAUCAUU